rnacentral:rRNA from 1 species
UACGAAGGGGGCUAGCGUUGUUCGGAUUCAUUGGGCGUAAAGGGUGUGUAGGUGGCGCGCUAAGUCGGGUGUGAAAUUUCGGAGCUUAACUCCGAAACUGCAUUCGAUACUGGCGUGCUUGAGGACUGGGAGAGGAGACUGGAAUUCAUGGUGUAGCAGUGAAAUGCGUAGAGAUCAUGAGGAAGACCAGUGGCGAAGGCGGGUCUCUGGGACAGUUCCUGGACACUGAGACACGAAGCCAGGGGAGCAACGGG